AUUGAACGCUGGCGGCAGGCCUAACACAUGCAAGUCGAGCGGGGUUUUCGGACCUAGCGGCGGACGGGUGAGUAAUGCGUAGGAAGCUACCCGAUAGAGGGGGAUACCAGUUGGAAACGACUGUUAAUACCGCAUAAUGUCUACGGACCAAAGUGUGGGACCUUCGGGCCACAUGCUAUCGGAUGCGCCUACGUGGGAUUAGCUAGUUGGUGAGGUAAUGGCUCACCAAGGCGACGAUCCCUAGCUGGUUUGAGAGGAUGAUCAGCCACACUGGAACUGAGACACGGUCCAGACUCCUACGGGAGGCAGCAGUGGGGAAUAUUGGACAAUGGGCGCAAGCCUGAUCCAGCCAUGCCGCGUGUGUGAAGAAGGCCUUCGGGCUGUAAAGCACUUUCAGUAGGGAGGAAGCGUUGUGUGUUAAUAGUACACAGCGUUGACGUUACCUACAGAAGAAGCACCGGCUAACUCUGUGCCAGCCGCCGCGGUAAUAC
rnacentral:rRNA from 1 species